rnacentral:rRNA from 1 species
AUUGAACGCUAGCGGGAUGCUUUACACAUGCAAGUCGAACGAGUGGCGGACGGGUGAGUAAUAUAUCGGAAGUGCCCAGUAGCGGGGGAUAACUACUGGAAACGGUAGCUAAUACCGCAUACUAUCGGAUAACCCAGAUGGGAUUAGCUAGUAGGUGGGGUAAUGGCUCACCUAGUCGACGAUCCCUAGCUGGUCUGAGAGGAUAAUCAGCCACACUGGGACUGAGACACGGCCCAGAUUCCUACGGAGGCAGCAGUGGGGAAUAUUGCACAAUGGGCGCAAGCCUGAUACAGCCAUGCCGCGUGUAUGAAGAAGGCCCUAGGGUUGUAAAGUACUUUCAGUCGGGAGGCGUUACCGACAGAAGAAGCACCGGCUAACUCCGUGCCAGCCGCCGCGGUAAUUC